rnacentral:rRNA from 1 species
CGCGCAGGUGGUUGUAUAAGUCUGAUGUGAAAGCCCGGAGCUCAACUCCGGAAUGGCAUUGGAAACUGGUUAACUUGAGUGCAGUAGAGGUAAGUGGAACUCCAUGUGUAGCGGUGGAAUGCGUAGAUAUAUGGAAGAACACCAGUGGCGAAGGCGGCUUACUAGACUGUAACUGACGUUGAGGCUCGAAAGUGUGGUAGCAAACA